ensembl:lncRNA
CUCAGUUAUGCCACAGGGAAGCAACCAGCAUAGAGGUGAAGACAACAUUCUGGCACAGCUUUUCAUCAACAUCUCAGGGUACAAACAAGGUGAAUAGUUUAGUGGAAAUUACAAACGAAAAUCAAAGGUCUAAGUUGCUCUGCUGUUAAACCUAGGGCAGCUGGUAGCAAUUCUAUUCAACAUGAACACUGAACAGGAACAGGCAGAUGUGAAGGAGUGUGAGCUGUUCUGGCCACGCUGACACACCUUUGGAAUGUUCCAUUUCCCAUAAGUCAGAAGAAGCCAGUAAGAGAAUAGGAGCUGACCUGACUGUGUCCAAAGAAAAAUCUUCAAUCCAGCUCUUUUCUUCUGGCAGUAAAAUAGGAACGAAAUGUUGCACAAUUUGAUGCUUAAUUAUCUUUGGCAGUACUUGAGAACAAUUCCCUGUUAAGUAACAAAUACGGGUGUGAUUAAGCCUGUUUUGAAGUUAGAUAAAAAUAAAUCGCUCUUCUGCUUUUUGCCUGCGCAUAAACCUGGGAAGUCC